rnacentral:rRNA from 1 species
UCUCCUACGGGAGGCAGCAGUGGGGAAUAUUGGGCAAUGGGCGCAAGCCUGACCCAGCAAUGCCGCGUGAAGGAAGAAGGCUUUCGGGUUGUAAACUUCUUUGACAGGGGAAGAGCAGAAGACGGUACCCUGAAAACAAGCCACGCCUAGCUACGUGCCAGCAGCAGCGGGAAUACGUAGGGGGCAAGCGUUAUCCGGAUUCACUGGGAGUAAAGGUAGCGUAGACUGCCAUGCAAGCCUGGAGUGAAAGCCCGGGGCCCA